UCCCUGGUGGCUCAGAUGGUAAAGAAUCUGUCUGCAACACAGGAGACCCAGGUUCGAUCCCUGGGUUGGGAA
rnacentral:tRNA from 1 species